rnacentral:rRNA from 1 species
UGGGGAAUAUUGCACAAUGGGCGAAAGCCUGAUGCAGCGACGCCGCGUGAGGGAUGACGGCCUUCGGGUUGUAAACCUCUUUCAGUAGGGACGAAGCGCAAGUCACGGUACCUGCAGAAGAAGCACCGGCUAACUACGUGCCAGCAGCCGCGGUAAUACGUAGGGUGCGAGCGUUGUCCGGAAUUACUGGGCGUAAAGAGCUCGUAGGCGGUUUGUCACGUCGUCUGUGAAAUCCUAGGGCUUAACCCUGGACGUGCAGGCGAUACGGGCUGACUUGAGUACUACAGGGGAGACUGGAAUUUCUGGUGUAGCGGUGGAAUGCACAGAUAUCAGGAAGAACACCGAUGGCGAAGGCAGGUCUCUGGGUAGUAACUGACGCUGAGGAGCGAAAGCAUGGGUAGCGAACAGG